rnacentral:lncRNA from 1 species
UAUGAUGCAAUAUGUCAUGUUGACCCUUUGGAGUCUAUGGCAUACUGAUCCAAAUUUAUUCCUGAAGGGACUGCAGUGCAGUAAAUGAGCUGUAGUCAGAUUGAGUUUAAUCUGCACAUUUCCACAGCUAAAAAGCUCCCUCAGAGUGAGCAGCAGUGGGAUCGGCAGAGGAUACAAGCGCAUGGCCAAACACUGUUGGUUCUCGUGUCAUGGACAGCGGAGCUGAGGGAGUUCAACUGAAGUGGUUGUGAAGACCUCAGUAGCUACAAUGAUACUGUUAAUUUUGAAUGAGGCCUGAGACAUUUUGAAGAAGCCCCUGGAAGGCACUAUUCCCUCUCCCUCCUCUGCCUGAGCUUGCUGGGUGAUCGGUGCACAUCUGUUCUGUGGGGAGACUGUGCUUGCAUCCCUCUUUGUCAUCACAUUUGCUACUGACCUGGCAGAGAGAAAUUGAAUAGGACAUCUUACCUGAUAAGCUCACCCACGUUGGUGCAGGAUUUUGCAGCUGAUCCCUUUGCAUUUUAC